ACGGCUCAGUAACACGUCGGUAACUUGCCCUACGGUCAGGCAUAAGCUCGGGAAACUGAGUGUAAUACNUGAUAUGGGAUGGACACUGGAAUGUUCCUUCCUUGAAACUCGUGCCGUAGGAUAGGCCGGCGGCGGAUUAGGCAGUUGGUGAGGUAACGGCUCACCAAACCUAUGAUCCGUACGGGCCAUGAGAGUGGUCGCCCCGAGAAGGGCACUGAGAUAAGGGCCCUAGCUCUAAGGAGUGCAGCAGGCGAGUAUUCUUUACAAUGCGCGAAAGCGUGAUAAGGGGAAUCUGAGUGCUCACUAUUUUAUAGUGGGCUUUUGCCAAGUGUAAAUAGCUUGGAGAAUAAGUGAUGGGUAAGACCGGUGCCAGCCGCCGCGGUAACCCCGGCGUCACAAGUGGCACUCACGUUUAUUGGGUCUAAAGCAUCCGUAGCCGACAGAAUAAGUUUUUUGUGAAAUUGUUAAACUAAACUUAACAACGUGCAGAAAAUACUAUUUUGUUAGAGACUGGGAGAAGGUAAGGGUAUUCCUUGGGUAGCGGUAAAAUGUUAUAAUCCUUGGAGGACCACCAAUGGCGAAGGCAUUUACCUAGAACAGAUCUGACGGUGAGGGAUGAAAGCUAUGGGAGCGAACCGGAUUAGAUACCCGAGUAGUCAUAGCUGUAAACUCUGCAAACUAGGUGUUGCAUAUUCUUCGUGAAUAUGCAGUGCCGGAGUGAAGAUGUUAAG
rnacentral:rRNA from 1 species